rnacentral:rRNA from 1 species
UCUUAUAGCCCCACAACCCCCCUAGGCACCGUGUGCUUGGUUUUAGGUUGGGGCGACCGCGGAGUACAAUAAAACCUCCACAAUGAAUGGGAACACCCCCUUAUCUGAGGGCCACACCCCCUAAGAAUUAGAACACUAACAUAAAAUGAUCCAUUAUUUGAUCAAUGAACCAAGUUACCCUGGGGAUAACAGCGCAAUCCAUUUCAAGAGCCCCUAUCGACAAAUGGGUUUACGACCUCGAUGUUGGAUCAGGGUACCCCAGUGGUGCAGCAGCUACUAACGGUUCGUUUGUUCAACGAUUAAAACCCU